UGCGUAGGCGGUGCGGAGAGUCGGGUGUGAAAUACCUCAGCUUAACUGAGGAACUGCACUCGAUACUUCCGUGCUAGAGUAAGACAGAGGUGAGUGGAACUGAGGGUGGAGCGGUGAAAUGCGUUGAUAUCCUCAGGAACACCGGUGGCGAAGGCGACUCACUGGGUCUUUACUGACGCUGAUGCACGAAAGCCAGGGUAGCAAACG
rnacentral:rRNA from 1 species